AUUGAACGCUGGCGGCAGGCCUAACACAUGCAAGUCGAACGGUAACAGGAAGCAGCUUGCUGCUUCGCUGACGAGUGGCGGACGGGUGAGUAAUGUCUGGGAAGCUGCCUGAUGGAGGGGGAUAACUACUGGAAACGGUAGCUAAUACCGCAUAAUGUCGCAAGACCAAAGAGGGGGACCUUCGGGCCUCUUGCCAUCGGAUGUGCCCAGAUGGGAUUAGCUUGUUGGUGGGGUACGGCUCACCAAGGCGACGAUCCCUAGCUGGUCUGAGAGGAUGACCAGCCACACUGGAACUGAGACACGGUCCAGACUCCUACGGGAGGCAGCAGUGGGGAAUAUUGCACAAUGGGCGCAAGCCUGAUGCAGCCAUGCCGCGUGUAUGAAGAAGGCCUUCGGGUUGUAAAGUACUUUCAGCGGGGAGGAAGGGAGUAAAGUUAAUACCUUUGCUCAUUGACGUUACCCGCAGAAGAAGCACCGGCUAACUCCGUG
rnacentral:rRNA from 1 species